AUUGAACGCUGGCGGCAGGCCUAACACAAGCAAGUCGAACGAGUGGCGGACGGGUGCGUAAUGUCUGGGAAACUGCCCGAUGGAGGGGGAUAACUACUGGAAACGGUAGAUAAUACCGCAUACCAUCGGAUGUGCCCAGAUGGGAUGAGCUAGUAGGUGGGGGAACGGCUCACCUAGGCGACGAUCCCUAGCUGGUCUGAGAGGAUGACCAGCCACACUGGAACUGAGACCCGGUCCAGGCCCCUACGGUAGGCAGCCGUGGGGAAUAUUGCACAAUGGGCGCAAGCCUGAUGCAGCCAUGCCGCGUGUAUGAAGAAGGCCUUCGGGUUGUAAAGUCCUUUCAGCGAGGAGGCGUUACUCGCAGAAGAAGCACCGGCUAACUCCGUGCCAGCAGCCGCGGUAAUUC
rnacentral:rRNA from 1 species